AAACAGUAGAGCUAAGACUAGAUGACUGCUUCGGUCAUGUAUGGCGAGCCCUCUUUGUUUAAGUAUCACCAAGGAAUACAAAUUUUGCACAAGUGAAUGUAGUUUACUUACACAGUAUACUGUUCGGGAUGAAUACUGUUUAUGUUUUCUGUUUCUACAUUUCUGCAUUCAUUUUAGUAACUUUUUCGCACAAGCAAGAUUUGGCACUGCCUGAAGAGUUGCUGGAAAGACAAAGUGAAAACGUGACAAGAAGAGCCAAAAGUAAGAGACAAGCGGUAUUAUGCGCCAGAUGGCAUUGGCCAUGUAGUCCCAUUCAGAAGACAGCAGAGCGUACGUGCUGUCAGGGCCAUGCUUGUGUUUGUAAUGUUUUCUGGAUGGACUGCGCAUGUGUGCAAUCUUUCUUUUAUAAGGUUAGCGCAGAAUCUACAACAAUAUGUAAUUAUAUAUGUAUAAGCAUUUCUUUACUUUCUGCUUUUUCCUUGUAAAGUAGAUCCGCCUGGUCUGGGUGUUGCGAUAAUCAUAAUCCAAAGUAAUCCAAAUCAGCAAAAAAUAGCAAUUCAACCGCGUUUCGACAUCAUAUAAAACUAUAGACACAUAAAAGUUGCUAAAACAUAUCAACGUUCAUUGUACAAUUCGUUUGUAGAAAAUGCGUUAUACGAAGUGUUUAUGACUUGCAGUUCUUUGUUGCAUGUCACGUUAUUUAGAAGGGAUUAGUGUUGCUAUAUGAACAAGAGGAAGCAAAACAGUUGUUAUGCAAUAUUUGGAGACAAGUGAGAUGUAAACAGCAUCAGUUGAAAUUUGUCGAAUUUUUUCCCAAACCUAAAAAUACAGAGUAAAGUAAAACAGCUUGCUAAUUGUUUAAGGUUUCAGAUUACAGCAUAUAACAUGAGGUUAUAGGGGAAAAAACGGAGACGAAUCUGGUAUUACUUGAACAAUAAUAAAUUUAUCACAAAAGAGUUCAAUCUGUGUCAGUUCAUUUCUUGAAUAAUUAAGAACUUUUGGCGUUUGCAAUAAUUCCUCACCGGUUUGAUCUGAAUUAAAUACGUAUGUCGUCAAAUAUAUGCUUCCCCCACUCCAAAAACUAGAAGAUUACGAUAGGAACGGCAUAUAAGGAUCACAAAUCAACUACAGACAACAUAUAAGUCCAAUGACUCCCCACACACACAACCUGAUGCACAUGAACCAUGAACCUUAUACCACGGACUAACGCUACUCUAUAUAGCGUAACCUCUGGACCACCUAGAUAAGAUGUGCAUACUCAUAAUCAAUACAACUCUACCUUAUAAAAUAUGUCAUCCAUAUUGUCGAAUGCCAUCAAGACAAUUCUAUGUGCAGCCCUUGAAAUUCAUUUUCUUUAUAUAUUAUAUUGUAUUGUGAUUAUUGUCUGUUUACGCAAUCGCGCCAGCAAGCCUGUCAACUUCCAGGUUUUUAUACAAUAUCUAUUAACAAUGGCGGACUGGCCUACUUGCCAGCUUUGCAAGUAGGCCCCUGCACCAUUAGAAUCCAUAUAUGGGGACCCAUGCUCUCAAAUUUGAUAAUUUUUUAUUCAGUCCUGGAAGAAUGCAUUAUUUCGGCUUGGCUGUGUUUGUAGACAGUUGAAAAGGAUACUUUUAACAAAACAAAGAAAAAAAACCUUCACAUUUUUUAUGUUUUAUUGCAUAAAAUUUUAGACACUUUAGAGACGACAGCUUGCGCUAAAAAAGGCAAUAAAUUUAAUUUCCUUUGAUUUAAUGUUAUGUGAAAACAAGCGGACAAUUACAAACGCGUGUGUACGUGUAUACAUGCGUAUGUGUACGCACGCCCGGGUGUACUGUAUAAUUGGCCAGUACAGGGGUUGUAACUGUAAUUGUCGUGAUUCUUGUUGGUGGAUAGCAGAUGGAAUCUACAAAGCUGACUUUUCAUUAAGCAUUUUAUCAAUUGUGGUUGAAUUAAGGAGUCUCAGAGGUUAAGCCUGGGUCAGUUGUUGUUGCAGUUGCAAAGGAUUUGAAGAGAAAACACGUUGUUGUUGCCGUGGUGGUGGUCAGAAGAACGGAAAUAAGAAUUAAGAGAUUUUAUUCCCACCAGUCACAAAAUUAUUAUCGAGUUUGUGAAUUUGCGAAAAAGGUGCAUGAUGAAACAUAAUUUUAUCCUCUGUUUGUACUUCUGUGUACUCAUUCCAUUCGUGUUCUCAUAUUUUCAAGAUCGAUAUAUGCCUGAGGUUUUUUUAAAAAGAGGGCUUAAAGGUUUCGUAAAAAGAAGCAUAUGGCCUACAUGCGGAGCAUUUGCUGAGAAAUGCCAACAUAAGCGGAGUAGGUUAUAUAAUCCAUGUUGUAGGCAAUAUGAUUGUACAUGUAGGAUCGUCUGGAAGAAAUGCCUGUGCAUGUAUCCUAAAUAAAGCAUAUGGCCUACAUGCGGGGGAUUUGGUGAGAGAUGCAACCCUGUGCGGAGAAGAUUAUAUGCUCCAUGUUGUAGGCAAUAUGAUUGUGCAUGUAGGAUCGCCUGGGAGAGAUGCAUGUGCAUGUAUCCUUCUUUUAGUAAUAGUAUGUCCAUUAAUUAAAGUAUCUUCCAUGAAUGUCAUGCUGUUUAAAAUUGGUAACCUCAUUAUAUGAGACAAAGGAAAAUAAAAAUACUUUUUAUGUGAAA